CCUACGGGUGGCAGCAGUGGGGAAUAUUGCACAAUGGGGGAAACCCUGAUGCAGCGACGCCGCGUGAGUGAAGAAGUAUCUCGGUAUGUAAAGCUCUAUUAGCAGGGAAGAAAAUGACGGUACCUGAUUAAGAAGCCCCGGCUAACUACGUGCCAGCAGCCGCGGGAAUUCGUAGGGGGCAGGCGUUAUCCGGAUUUACUGGGUGUAAAGGGAGUGUAGACGGCAGCACAAGUCUGGAGGGAAAUGCCGGGGCUUAACCCCGGAACUGCUUUGGAAACUGUGCAGCUAGAGUGCAGGAGAGGUAAGUGGAAUUCGUGGUGUAGCGGUGAAAUGCGUAGAUAUUAGGAGGAACACCGGUGGCGAAGGCGGCUUACUGGAGUGUAACUGACGUUGAGGCACGAAAGCGUGGGGAGCGAACAGGAUUAGAUACCCUAGUAGUC
rnacentral:rRNA from 1 species